CAAAAUCAUAGCUUUGUAUAAGCCUAUAUAGUAUAAAAAUGCACAAAGUGCAUAGCUUAAUAUAUUACCUUAGAAUCCAUGCUGUCUGCAUCUGGGGCAUCAAAGAAGGUACAAACAAGCUUCCAAAAUCAUAAAAAUCAUGAAACCUGUGAAAAGGCAAGGGAGACCCCUUCUGCCAUUUUGUAUACAGGAAACACAGCCUUGAAGCAAUUCAGUUUUUUUUUUCAAAAUGCAAGAUAAACUGCAGCACAAACACUUGUGACACUGCACGCUACUCUCUGAGUCUUCCUGGAUACAUCACUACUGGGAAAGCAUGCCCGCGCACACACCUGACCCUUACCGGCGGGUCUUUAAAUCAGAGGAAAAAAUGCUGGCACCUAUUGGGAUGUCCACAGCAUAAAUGGAAGCUACUGUCUGCUAGCCUAGCCCCUGUGAUUACAAGUCUGCCUCUUGGAUAAAGGAACUUUCAGUAACUCAGAAUAUGUCACUUCCGGAUAUUGGAAUGUGAGUCCCCGGCGCAAUGACGUCACUGAGGGCUACUUCCGGGUUCGGGCAUGGCACAGGAGCACAGGAGCUGGUGGCGUGCAGACCUCUAUUUGCCUUAAAAAAGCAAUAAUGGGACAAAGACAUCAAUCAAGAUAUCUGCUGAGGAAAAAGCAUGGGUUCCCAUGAACAAUGUUUUAAGAAAACUGACGCCUGCCGAGUUGGCUACGGCCACCGAAUGCUCCCACAACAUUUACAAGAGACUGAGUGAUGAAAUCUCACAGCUUCUAAUCAAACAUGUAGCUUAAACUUGUUGUGUGUCAAUCAGGAACAU